rnacentral:misc_RNA from 1 species
UUCUGAGUCGAUCUUAAGAAGGUAAACAUGAAUAACAAUCAAACACCAAAUAGAUAGAGCAAAAGCAACGAGAAUAGGAACAACAAACCCAAUAUGAACAAGAACAAAUCAACAAAUCUAAGUACCCACCAAACGUACUUUGCUCAACCCUAAAUAAAUAUCAACAACUGCAAAAGUAAAACGAAAAUCCAAAUUAAAUUAGUUCAAUUCAAUUAUAAAUGAACUUUGCUCAACCCUACAUAAAACGGUCUAACAUUCUGUGCACAGCAAUUCAUGUUCUCACAACUCUCUAAACCAUACAUUUAAUAGCUAAUGCUCUAAAAUUUUACAGCAUCAUUGCCAUAUCUACAACCGACAUGCUAAACUCUCCUUUGGGCAGCUUCCAGAUGUUGUAUCAAGAGACAGUGCAUUGCAUGAACCUCCAAUGACGUCAUCCGUUGUAUAAUAACUUAGAGAAAUUAAAGUUGUUUAGCAAUUUUGUGGCCUAGAGUAUUUUGGGGGAAGUGAUGGACAUCUUUCAUUCAUAUGGGGAUAAGGAUCCAUAGUGUUGUAUCCUGGUAGCUCCAUUCGAUACUUGCCACGAAUCUGACAAAAGGGGAGCUUCACAUUGUCUCCAUCAUUGCACCACUUCGGUAAGCGACUUGAGUUGUUUUCAAAAAACCUGAGUGUGUAGGCAUCUUUAAUCUGCAUUUUCAUCAAUGGAACAGAUUUAACAUGUACACCUUGUCAACUGCUUUGAAGGAACUCGGAUAUCAAAUUAUUAGAAAACAGUCACAUUUUCAACGAACACAAACAUAGCUGCUGAAAAUUUUAAAAGAUUUCUCAAACUAGUGAUUAGUUUACUCCAAUUCAAAUUGAUGAGAAGAAGGUAAACGUUCAGCCAUCCAGCUAAUAAGAUCUAAAGAGCAAAGAAAUAGAGAACUCUUAACAAUUCAAACAUUAUCUUUCCAUAAUUUUACUCCACAAACAAAUUGUAAAUUUAGCACACCACCUAAGCUGAAGGAAAAAUCAGAAACCAGAUUCAAUCUAUUCCAACGAAGAAAUAAAAAUAAUAACAUAUGCUUCUUAUGUUGUCCCCUUCAUAGGUAAUAAAAUUAAUCCGAAGCACCAAACUGGAACUUAAUGCAUGCAAGUAAGUAUCACAUUCAUUUAUGGACUAAAGAAAUUCAACCAAAAAAAAAUAUGUAUAUAUAUCUUUACUCAGGUCAAACAAAUAUCUUAUCAUUCUUGAAAAACUAACCGUAAACUCAGUCACUUGUAUAAAACUAGCAAUUGGAUCAAAUAGUCCAGCUUCCUUGUACAUUUCCAGAAUGAAAGCAAUGCAGGAGGUUGAAUACCCAUCAGUGUAUAGCCAAUCAUCCUGUUCAGGAAUUGUCAACAGUUCACCAAAGGAUGAUCCACGCUUUUCAGUCUCUACUAAGAUAUCAGGAAGAUCAAGACCCUCUGUUCCGAGUCGCUUGUUCAAGGCUUCAUUCCACAUGUUGGCAGCAUAAGCAGGUUGUAUUUGGUUCCAUACUGUCAUAACAGAUGCAACCAGGUGUGCAUCCAAGGGGGGUGGAUAGUUCCCAUCUAUGGUGUCUAUCCAGCUAAAUAUCAUGUUAUGGUAUCCAUAAGGUUUGCCAUUCAUGCUCAAUGCAUACUCCCAUGCAGCAGUUUCAUUAAACUUGGCCCGCACAUCAGGAUGCAGAGGAAGCAGUGUAAUAUGUGGAUUAGAGUCAUCCUUAGUCAGCUCAAAUUCCCACCAUUCAUCCCACGGUAACACAGCAAUAAUAUCUUCCCCCUGUUCAUUUUCAUGUCCUGAUUCACCAACCCACAAUUUUCCUUCAGAGUCCCUUAAGCAAACAGCAGUAUGACCUGCAUAAGCUCCACUAACCCACUUUUCCAAAGUCUCAAAACCACCCCACCUCCCACGAAUUUUUGAUAUUGCAAGCAAAUCUCCCGAGUGAAUAUCAUCAGCACUGACAUUGGUAACCCAGGGCUUUGGACGCUGUUCAAAGGUAGCCCCCAUGCGCUUCUCAAGGAAUCCAAUAUUGGAAUUCUCUCCCCAUCCAGUAUUUGUAAAUAGUGGAAAGACAUCCCACAGUGCUUGAAGAGUUCCCAGCAUCCCUGCUUGCAUGAGGAAAAUUGAAAUUCCCUUGUUUUUCACGUAUUCAUACUCAGCUUUCCCUUCCCACUCUUUAAACUCGAAUGUAUGCUCCCGCGAAAGAAAAUAAUAAUCCCAUGUAACCCGGUAUGGAGUUACAAAGACAUAAAGAUCGAUACAUGUCCAGCUAUGAGCCUUGCUAACCUUGAUAUGAAGUGUUCCACCACCAAAUUCACUGCCAGUCUUAUUGUGGAACUCCAUCCAAGCCUCGUUCUCGUAGAAACAGGCACCCUUCCACUCGACGGUUCCAUUUGGAGACGAGGCAGCUCCCACAAACGUUGGCAAAAGGUCAACGGCACUGUUGAGAUAAUUGAGAAUUGGCCACGAGACUUGCCUCGGCAACAAGGGUAGAAGAUCCUGCGGGUGAAAUGGCACUUGCACGGCUUGUGCGGCAAAAAAGUAGAGAAAAAAGGAAACACUGAGAAUCGUUAGCGAGGAAGAUGGAGCCAUGAUUUUGGGAGGGAAAGAAGGAUAAAUGAAUGUCUUCUACAGAGAAAAUAGAGUGAGAGAUGGCGAGUAAAAAGUUAAAAUUCCAUCGUCUCUAGUUGGCUGUCCCUUUCUUGCUCUUGAUUCUGCACUCAGAAAACGAGAAGAAAU